rnacentral:lncRNA from 1 species
CUGUCUACUCCUCGCAUGUCCUUAGCGUUCUCUGGAGUCAACCAGAGGGUAGAAAGCAUUUGAAGACCGCGUUCAACAGCAUGUUGCAGAAAGUAGGUGGGGAUACAGAUGUUUUAGCAGAACUCGUUGAUAACUUUUAUGCUGGUGCAAGAAACAUAAUUAACAUAUGAUGGUAAAGUGUUCAGUAGUUAUACUGGAAAAUCCCCAUGCAUUUACUCUUCUAACAUAGAACUUCAGAUCUAACAACAAUAACAGACUUUGCUUUAAAACCUGCCCAUUUAUUAUCAGAGGAAAUUUUAGAAUUCAAAAAUGUUGUAUUUCAUAUCAGUUUGAUAAUUGUAAUUAAGGUUUUUGAUUAAGGGUAUACAUAGUAAAAGCUAAAUGUUAUUUUUGUUUCUCUUUUUGAUGGAUGCAAUGUAAAAGUUCAAAUGGCAUAGUACCAGAAGUGACAUCUUUUAAUCAGUAAAGCCACUUUUUUAUUUUCUAGAAGCUCAGUACAAAGGAAAGAUUUAAUCCUGUAAAAGGUCAUGGGGCUCGAGAUGUGGAAGCAAUCAUUAAUGAUUAUAUUAGGAUUGAUUAUUACAGUGCGGUUCUUUCUUGGACCCUAUGUGAAUGCAAGAUGUUUGAUGCACCGGCUGUCCAAGCUCAUCAAAUGCUGAUGAUGCUUUUUUUACCCCAAAAAUAUAAAUUUUGAAGUAAACUGGAUUGCAGCAAAAAUUGUGGCAAAUAUUUAGCUAGUGUUUGAUUGUAGAGUUUGAAAAUUUACUUUCAAAUAUUGAAAUAUGGUCUUUAAAUGUUUUCAAGUUUUUAAAAAUUGACUUUCAGUCACAAAAUUUCAACUAAAACACAUGUUAUACACAAUUUCAUGUUCCUAAAAUCACAACUCAAAAAUUUAAAUUUUUAAAUUUCAACUUUAAAAUAUAUGGCCAAAUGGAAAGAAAUUGUCAUAUUUAUUUCAAUGAUGUGGCAAAAUGUUUUUUUUUAAAUUUUGGGUGAUUGUAUCCUCCCUUAAUAAAAGGCUUCAAAUUUUAACUCUAGAAAUUAAAUAUAAUAGGUACAGAAAUUAAAAAUCACCAUUUGAGAGAGCGAAAUUAAAGAUCACCCAAAAAUAGGGGCAAUCCAUGCAAAAACUUGUAUACUAGCUAAAUUAAAGCGGGACAGAGAUCCAUCAUUUAAGUUUCCAAACUUCAAUCAAAUCAGAUAGCCAAUUUUAUCACCCAGCUAUAGUAACAAAUAAAUCUUUUAUAAUCUCAUUUUCCAUCCAAAUAUAAAAUUUCCUUUAUGUAUUAUGAAAAUUUUUGGAAAUACAAUCAAUUCAACUUCCCCCAAAAUAAUAUAGUAACUUACCUUACCCAAUAAGCCACAUGCAACUAUAAAACCAGGUAAAAAUUGUCACCCUACUCAUCAAAAAAAUAAAAAAAAAAUCAUGAAUUCCUUCAAAUUUUAUCUCCCAAUUUUUAUCCUUGUCCAAAUUUUAACUUUUUGUUUAGCCACACUUUAUCCAGUGUCUAUUGCUAAUUUAUUGAAUGCACCAUUAACUCUGAAUUGCAUAGCACAAGGUAAAAAUGUUGGGUAGAGAAAAUGCACCUGGUGGAUUUGUACUUAAUAUGUCCGUUGAUACAAGUGUUGAUAAUCCAAAUGAAUCAUGUGAAUUAAGUUCUGGAAAUUUGCAUGGGAAUUUUGUUGUGUUCGAUCCUUCAAAAGAACCAAAUACAUGUUACAAU